UUACAUGUACUAUCUUUGUGACUACAAUGUGUCACUUCCGGCUACAAGUUUUUAACCGGACGUGAUAUAAAGCCUGAAGUAUAAAUUUGUUCUUGUCUUGCCAAGGCGCGUCGAAUAAUAUAUUGCUUGCACUAUUCGGCGACAAUAAAACAGUUCUUGCAGUUGCAACUCUAGUGUAACGUUACAAACGUCACAUCUUUGAUAUUUUGUUUUUAAAUAAUUAUGUUACCUUAUUUUCUUUAAUAUUUCAUUAAUAAUUAUCUUCUUCUAUUUGGUUUACCAAUUUUCCCCUUUAAUAAAAAUCGGUUGGCGUCCAUUCUAUAAUAGGCAACCCUAUUUACAUUGUAUCUUCUCUCGUGUUCCAUGUUCGUUAUUUCAAAUUUCGGUACAAGGUUCGUUGUCAUGUCAUUUUAAUGACAAUGACAACCCCCAUAUCUCAUUCUCAAAAUGGAGGUGGAAAUGUUUUAAAAAGCAAAGCAGCUUCAAAAAUAAAUCAUUUUAUUUCAACAAAUCAUCUUCCUCUUGGGUUUUUGGGAAUAAAAGCACUUUCCUCCCUCCGGGAGCUGCAAGCAUCCUCAAAUCGCCGGCGAUAGAACAACGAGGACCAUGUCAUCAGGGCUGCAACCGCAUUACCAAGACUGCAACGACCAACAUCCGUAGGCCUGGUGGAAUACAACACCUACAACCCCAGAGCCUGUUGCAGAAUCAGCAGCAGUACCAUACGACAUCAAGAAGAUACCAUCAGCUACCAAAAGCCAUAAGUAUAAUCCAGAAUUGUUAGUUUUUAGCAAGAAUUUAAAUACAUUUGUUAAUGCAAUUUACUAAGUCAUUUUAUUUAUUAUAUCUUUAUGAACAAUAAACAUGAUUAGUUAAAAACUA